UGCAGCUGACCGGUUAGACAAAAAGUAAAAUAAAAAUAAAAUCGAAAACAUUAUUUUGGAUUACCUGUACCAUGUCGUCGGACGAUUUGACGGUGCAGGACGAUAUGCCGACGGACGGAUUGAAAUCCUUUCAGGGCAUGAAUGACUGUUUGCUGGAAAUUGGGGCAUCCCUUAAAACACACAAGGCAAGGAGGUUCAGGCCCGCAUCAAUAUUCUUGCGGGGCGGUGAUUCCCUACCUGAUACGGACUCCAACUGCGAACAGAUUGAUACGAAGAAGAGAAGAAAACGUAAUCGCUCUCUUUCUAAUGGAAGGGGUAAUGUAAAGAAGUAUCCGAAGCUGAACCGAAGCGCUUCAACCUAAAGACUUUACCAACACUGUCCAGCUGUAUCACAGAAAUCACUAAGCAGAUGUACAGAUUUGUGUCUUUGAGCCAAUAACUAUUAUGUUUUCAACAGCAAUCAAUAAAGUAUUAUAAAUAGGGUCAAAGUAAAA